rnacentral:rRNA from 1 species
UACAGAGGGUGCAAGCGUUAUCCGGAUUUACUGGGUUUAAAGGGUGCGUAGGCGGGCUAUUAAGUCAGUGGUGAAAUCCCGGGGCUCAACCUCGGAAACUGCCUUUGAUACUAUUAGUCUUGAAUUAUGUUGAGGUUGGCGGAAUAUAACAUGUAGCGGUGAAAUGCAUAGAUAUGUUAUAGAACACCGAGUGCGAAGGCAGCUGGCUAAACAUAUAUUGACGCUGAGGCACGAAAGCGUGGGUAGCGAACAGG